GACGAACGCUGGCGGCGUGCUUAACACAUGCAAGUCGAACGGAAAGACCCUGCUUUUGUGGGGUGCUCGAGUGGCGAACGGGUGAGUAACAAGUGAGUAACCUGCCCUUGACUUUGGGAUAACUUCAGGAAACUGGGGCUAAUACCGGAUAGGAGCUCCUGCUGCAUGGUGGGGGUUGGAAAGUUUCGGCGGUUGGGGAUGGACUCGCGGCUUAUCAGCUUGUUGGUGGGGUAGUGGCUUACCAAGGCUUUGACGGGUAGCCGGCCUGAGAGGGUGACCGGCCACAUUGGGACUGAGAUACGGCCCAGACUCCUACGGGAGGCAGCAGUGGGGAAUAUUGCACAAUGGGCGGAAGCCUGAUGCAGCAACGCCGCGUGCGGGAUGACGGCCUUCGGGUUGUAAACCGCUUUCGCCUGUGACGAAGCGUGAGUGACGGUAAUGGGUAAAGAAGCACCGGCUAACUACGUG
rnacentral:rRNA from 1 species